UUUCAAUUUUCCUUAAUAUUUUUAAAAGUAAUUAUGUAACGCCAAGUGAACAAUACGUAAUUACAAAACCCUUUUUUACUUGUUAGCCUUGAGAGCUCUUUGAUAAAUCGAAACGGUCAGAGAUGCAAAAAAAGGACUAAAUUUUAAGACGAAAACAAACUAAUUUGCAUAAUAUAUGUAUUAAUGUGUCUAUAAUCUCAAAAGAUUAAUCUAAAUUUGGUGAUUUAUAUGAAAAUAACUACUAAAAAUGCAAGAUGAAUUAUUUCGCUAUGCAGACAACCUUAAAAUUAUUGCUGUGGCAUUUAGUAUAUAAGCCUUUUUUGCUUGAAUGUGUUGUAUUAGUAUAUGAACAACAUUUCGUAUCGAAACAGCCCAAAUUUAAUCAAAAUGUUUAAAUUCAUCGUAUUUUUUGCCUUUUUGGCUGUAGCCUUAGCUGCGCCAGCUCCAGAAGCAAAAGCUGAUCCCAAACCUUGGUUAGCUUACAGUUCUCCUGUAGUAGCAACAGCUCCUGUGGCCUACGGUGUUCCUUUGACUUAUGCCGCAGCCCCACUGGCCUACAAUGCUUACCCUGCUUAUUCUGCAUAUGCUUCUCCUUAUGUUGCCACUGUUUACUAAGCUUCUUUAAAUUUUUCUUUUGUAAUAAUUAUCAUUGAAUAAAGUUGUUAGUCUUAUCUGAA